GCCAGCUGAUCGGAGUGAGAAGCCGGUUUGAAGAGAGGAGUUGGACCAGAGAGAGAGACCGGGGAGGGAGCCCCGAGGAGCAGCGAGCGGCACGGGGUGGGACCGGCCAAGCGGAUACUCAGAUUGGACCGUUUUUUUUUUUCUCUCCACCGUUUCUUAUUUAGAGGUUUAAAAAAAACAACCGGAGUGCAUGAGACACACAAAGCGACAGUGUUGUCAGGGUGAACUUGCAAAGGCUUUGCGUCUCGUCGAAACCUCUGGAGCUGUCAGAAAAAAAAAAAAAUUGAUUGAGAGUUAAGGUGUGGCUGAGGGUUUCUGUGAGGCUUCUGCACUGAACUAAUGUUACCAAAACCGACUGUUUCUACUCGAGAGUCAGGACUCUUAUACCUACCAAUGGCUUUAAAGAUUGUGUCCAGUCAUUUUCAUGAAGGAACAUAUUACAUAACAAAUCUAUUGCCAUCUCGACGUGCGCACCUUUUUGGCUUAAACCCAUCGCUUGUAGCCUAGAUUAAUUGGACACAGUUAAGAAGAAAGUCGAGUAUAUGUAUAUUUUUUUAACAGCUUGGCAGGUCGUUUUGCUUUUUUAGAAAGUGUGUGAAAUGUAACGGACGUGGCAACUUUACAGUAGCCAGCCCUGCUGAAUGCCACAGGCAAACUGGGCGUGGGGGAAACAGUCCGAACAGAGCCUUAAUAAUCCUCAAAUCUCAUCCAAAGCACGGCACAAAUUGCGCAUAUUUGAAAUAGUAUAACCACACUUGACAAAGCGCCUCGGCGGAGCCUGUGGAUUUUCCUGAAACCAAAGUAAGUGCGACUGUCAAAUACAUUUUGCAAACUUUUUUUUAGCGGAGGUGACAUUUAAAGGCCACAGGGGAGGGCGUGCUACGGUGUUACCUCAAAGGCAUUUUUAUCAUUUUAUCCAGAUGUAGUGUUUGUCUAAACAGGAGGAAUCGGAGAGAUUUUUGGCUGGUGAAGGUGGUGUGUCGGUCGGCUGAGGCCUGUAUAAAAAAAAAAAUCUUUAUUCUGUGUAUUUUGUGUGUGAUACAGUGAGAGGACAUUACUAAAAAUGGGAUGGGGCGGGUGUGUCUUUGCCAAAGCAAACGCUUGGGGCGUUGAAUUAAUCUAAAUGUGGAAGAAGGAGAAGAAGGAGCGAAAUAUAAGAGUUGGCUCUAUGUUACAGUAGUGUGCUCGACUUGUCAAAGAAUACUGGAGUCAUUCUUCACUCUUGCGAUGCGUUUAAAAGCACAAUAACUCAAUCAUAAUUGAGUGCAUGGGCAGACUGACCCCGUAUAGUCUAAUUAAGAUAAGCUUUAAGUCGAGGGGAAAGCAGAUAGAGUGAAUUCCUCAAGGCCCCACCCUUUGUAGCGCAACAUGGAUGUGGAGAGUUGCCCCCACCUCCUCCUCCUCCUCCUCCACCACCACCCCCUCCUCCUCUUCAUCCUCCUCUUCAUCCUCCUCCUCUCUCCUUCUCUCCCUCCGCGUCAUUCAUUUCCCCUUUCAAGCUUGUCUUAUGCUGUUUUUUACCCCCUCCCUUCAGUAUCUCCAGGUGCCUUCAGUUGUCUUUUAACAAACUUUCGAUCACGGCACCAGGAUCUUCAUCCAGGAGUCUACAGAGGCGUUAAUUGCUGGAGGGCCAGCGGUGAGGAGCGGUGGGCCUCUCGGCAGACCGGCUGGAAUGUGGACCAUAUGUAGCAGGCAUCCUAGGAAUGUAACUCGGCCUUGCUGAACUGACCAACCUAAAGACACAGAGAGAGCGGAGCAGGAUAAGGAGGAGAGAGAGAGGGACAAAAAGAAGGUAGGGCAAAGGAAGAUGAUAUUAAAGGACAAAAUAGAUCACGGAGGAGAGAAGGGAGAAAAUGAAUUAACGGGUCCUAACGUCAUGUCAUAUCUAAUGUAUUCCAUAAACACCUGUGUAGUGUAUUAGAGGAUAUUUAAUAGGGCAUGGCUUCUGAGGAUGAAAUGUGGAUCUGUAGUACUUUGUGUGUCAGACCACAGUGUUCUUCCAGCUCACUAACUCAGGGUGAAUGUCUGUCUCGUCUGUUAGCUUAGCACACUGUGCUCUCAGGCCAUCUGGGUACAGCUGGGGCCAGAACGGCAGGAAACACACUCACUCACAGAUACACACACUUAUACAAACAUUUUUUUUUUUUUUUAAUCUAACGUACCCUAGCCAUGCCCCCUACACAUACACAGACAUACACUGCACUGUUCAGUGGAGUGUGAUGGCAGUCGACCUCCACUUGCCACAUUAAAAAAAAAAAAAAAAA